UAGGGAAUAUUGGACAAUGGGCGAAAGCCUGAUCCAGCAAUGCCGCGUGAGUGAGGAAGGCCUUAGGGUUGUAAAGCUCUUUCGCACGCGACGAUGAUGACGGUAGCGUGUAAAGAAGCCCCGGCUAACUUCGUGCCAGCAGCCGCGGUAAUACGAAGGGGGCAAGCGUUGUUCGGAAUUACUGGGCGUAAAGGGCGCGUAGGCGGCCUUGUUUGUCAGGCGUGAAAGCCCUGGCUCAACCCAGGAAUUGCGCUUGGGACGGCAAGGCUUGAGUUCGGGAGAGGAGAGUGGAAUUCCCAGUGUAGAGGUGAAAUUCGUAGAUAUUGGGAAGAACACCGGUGGCGAAGGCGGCUCUCUGGACCGAUACUGACGCUGAGGCGCGAAAGCGUGGGGAGCAAACAGG
rnacentral:rRNA from 1 species